rnacentral:misc_RNA from 1 species
UACGGAGGAUCCAAGCGUUAUCCGGAAUCAUUGGGUUUAAAGGGUCCGUAGGCGGGAUAAUAAGUCAGCGGUGAAAGUCUGUGGCUCAACCAUAGAAUUGCCAUUGAUACUGUUGUUCUUGAGUGUUUAUGAGGUGGUUAGAAUGUGUAGUGUAGCGGUGAAAUGCAUAGAUAUUACAUAGAAUACCGAUUGCGAAGGCAGAUCACUAAUAAUUUACUGACGCUGAUGGACGAAAGCCAGGGGAGCGAACGGG